rnacentral:rRNA from 1 species
CAGCAGCCGCGGGAAUACGAAGGGGGCUAGCGUUGCUCGGAAUGACUGGGCGUAAAGGGCGCGUAGGCGGAUUGUUUAGUUAGGCGUGAAAUUCCUGGGCUUAACCUGGGGACUGCGCUUAAUACAGGCAGUCUAGAGUGAGGAAGAGGGUUGUGGAAUUCCCAGUGUAGAGGUGAAAUUCGUAGAUAUUGGGAAGAACACCGGUGGCGAAGGCGGCAACCUGGUCCUUGACUGACGCUGAGGCGCGAAAGCGUGGGGAGCAAACAGGAUUAGAUACCCGCGUAGUCCCUGUCUCUUAUAC